rnacentral:rRNA from 1 species
GCAAAACGCGAAGAACCUUACCAACCCUUGACAUGGAGGGGACCGUUCCAGAGAUGGUUCUUUCACUUCGGUGACCCCUCACACAGGUGCUGCAUGGCUGUCGUCAGCUCGUGUCGUGAGAUGUUCGGUUAAGUCCGGCAACGAGCGCAACCCACACUUUCAGUUGCCAGCAUUCAGUUGGGCACUCUGAAAGAACUGCCGGUGAUAAGCCGGAGGAAGGUGUGGAUGACGUCAAGUCCUCAUGGCCCUUACGGGUUGGGCUACACACGUGCUACAAUGGCAGUGACAAUGGGCUAAUCCCAAAAAGCUGUCUCAGUUCGGAUUGGGGUCUGCAACUCGACCCCAUGAAGUCGGAAUCGCUAGUAAUCGCGUAACAGCAUGACGCGGUGAAUACGUUCCCGGGUCUUGUACACACCG